rnacentral:lncRNA from 10 species
CCAGCACAUGCUUUUUUGGAGUUAGGAGAACUUGAAGACUGGAUCUUCUGCAAACAUCAUAGAAAGACUGCCCUUGCCAUCCGCACUGCAACAAAACCUUGGGACCUUGAAGCUUGCGACAUAAUCUCACAACUGAGAAGGCUCUCUCCACAUUCUUGGAACUGUAUACCCAUUGGAACCCUUAAGGUAAAACUAAUCAAGGAAGUUUCUCCUCAGAAGAAGAUGACAUCCCUGAUGUGAACAGCUUUUCCCAAGAUGUUAGAUCAAGACUUCUCUACUGUCAUGAAACUCUUAUCUUUAAAUAUUUUUCCUUGCUUAUGCCUCUAUGAACAACAGAAGUGAAAAGGGGGUCUGUUAUUUACACUUAUUGGGUAUACUUUUAUUUGAGAAGGAUUUUACAGAUAGCUUUAUACAUUGAUAACUUUAUUCUUUGAUAGAUAAAAGAAGAAGGCCCAAAGUAGAUGAGAAACUUUAAUGUUACAUACGCUGCCUUGUAAUCAAUCAGAAACAGAACACUAGUUCACUCCUUUUAACCCACAUCAUGGGUUAAAUUGAACAUUGCCAGGAAGCAUUCAUUCUUCUAUAAGGGCAUCCUUUGUUAGGUCAUUUUUCUAUGAUUUGGAGUAAAACAGGCAAUGGUUAUAAAUGUAUCCCUCAUGAUAGGCUCUAUAGCAGAUUCUACCUUAAAGGCUAUGGUUACACGGCAGACUCUACAGUCUCUUGUGAAAGUUAAGCUAAAUAAUCGAAUUGCUCUAGAUUACUUACUGGCUAAAUAGCAGUAUCUGUGCAGCUACUAGCACUUAUGGCCUAUGGAGAAAACACUGCGUGUUAUAGAGAUUCUGUUCUAGGGAAUUAAUGAAAAGACUGCUUAGUUAAGUGAGUAGACUCUUUAUCUAGCUCAUUCUUUGAUAUAUUUGAAUUCAUGUGGUUUGGUUUAUGGGGAUUCUGGGUUAGCAGCAUACUCCAUACUCUUGAUAUUAUUAUCCGAAUAAUCAUAAUAAUAUUCUCCCUGCUGCAUAGUAUUCUCUCAAAUAUUUUAAAAGUUUGCAUGCAGCCAUGUCUAGAAUGUAAAAUAAUCUCUCUUAAACUGUAAUGACAAGAGCUGAAAGAAAUGUGCGACCAUGUGGACACUGUAACCUAUGAAUGACAUGCUGAGACGGGAAAUCCAAAAUAAUGGUAACUGAGAGUGGCGCUAAGGCCCUAAGUUUUGUCACACUGUCACUUAAGUGAGAACUUUACUACAAAUAGAGAAUUUUUAAAAACAAAAUUAUGGGAGGUCACUGUUUUGGACUGACCUCACGUACUAGGCACCAACAGACUAAACAAACAAACAAAAAAAUAGAAUCGCUUUUGCUAAAUGUAACAAAAUCAAAUUAAAAUUUUAAGGAAACACAUAGGUCCUAGAACAGACCAGGCUUUGUUUUUCUCUUGUAAGAAAACAUUCAAGCAUAAGGAGGUACCUUUACUCAGUCUUUGUUCCUACUUUUGCAACUCAUUGUUUCCCAGCGGAUUUCAAUACCAAUAGUAAUAGUGACAUCAAUGACUGAAGUUUUGGUCAAUCUCUCAAAAUUGAGAAGAUGACCUAAAGGGGGGAAUGGUUAAAGCGACUUAAAUAUGGCCUGAGAAGGACUCCAUACUUCUAUAUUUCAGUCCCUGUGGGUUAUCAUCUGUAUCCUAAUUUAAUAGGUAGACAAGAUUGAAAACCUAAAUUAGGAGUAUGUGCUUGUAACAAUAGCUCAGUCUGGCCAAUCUCAGCAGCCAUACAGUAACCACUUAUACACUGCUGAGUGUUCAAAUAAGGCAAACACCAACCUGCAACCAACAACCCAGCUAUUUCUGUACCUCACUUCCAAUUUCUGUACGUCACUUCCCUUUUUUUGUCUAUAAAUUUGUUGACUACGAGGCAUCCCUGGAGUCUCUGAAUCUGCUGUGAUUCUGGGAGCUGCCUGAUUUACAAAUCGCUCAUUGCUCAAGUAAACUUCUUUAAAUUUACUUUGGCUGAAGUUUUUCUUUUAACAGACUGCAGCACAAUCUCUAAAUUAUUGAAAAUAAAACCAUCUUGGUUUGAGGAAAUCCUAGACAACGUCUGGAUCUAAAAAUAGUUGAAAACAUAAACUGUUCUUUUAACAAAUAGAAAAGACCACCUUUUUAGAGCUACCGGAAGGAAACCUGCUCAAGGAGAUAAAAGCUAAAUUGUUUUGCAAGGAUUAGGGACUGCCAUUUAGAGUGGCAUUUAAACCAUUCUUGAUUACUGCAGUCAAGCCAGUUAACAUAUUCAUUAUCUCAUAUAGUCAUCUUCUUCUGUGAGGUAAAAGAACAUAAAACCUAUUCUUUUUGCAAAUUGUCAAUAUACAGUAGUAUUUACUAUAGUCCUCAUGCUGUAUUUUAUCUGUGUAGAUUUAUGCUACAUAACUGCAGCUUUACACCCUAUGAUGUGCAUCUCCCCAUUUUCUCUUUACCUGUAAUAACAACAAUCCUACUCUCUAUUAGAUUGUUUUAAAAUUCUACAUAGAGAAAUCAAGUAGCAUUUUUUUUCUGUGUCUAGCUUAUUUAACUUAGCAUAAUGUCCUCCAGGUUCAUCUCUGUUGCCACAAAUGGCAGGAUCUACCUUUAAAAAUGUGAAUAAUAUUCAAUUGUAUGUAUAACACAAUACCUUUAUGCAGUCAUAAUUCCAGAGACACUAAGGUUGUUUUCAUAUAUUGGCUAUUUUGAAUAAUGCUAUAAUGAACAUGGGAGCACAGAUAUUUCUAUGAGGUGCUGAUUUUAUUUCCUUUAGAUACAUACCCAGAAGAGUGAUUGGUAGGUAGAUGGAUAGGUAGAUAGAUAGAUAGAUAGACAGACAUACUUAAUUUUGGACUCUGCUGCAUUCUAUUAAUUUAUGUGCCUAUAUCUGUAGAAAAAAACAGUUCUGAUAACAAUAGUCUUUUUUUCUCAAACAGCUUUAUUGAUAUAUAAUUUAUAAUAUAAAAUUCACCUAUUGUAAGUGUCCAAGUCAAUGGUUUUUAGUAUAUUCACAAAGUUGCAUGACCUUUGCUACAGUCUCAUUUUGGAACAUUUUCAUAACUCUAAAAGUAAACUCUAUGAUUAUUUUAUCAUCACUAAGAAUAUUCACCUCCAGCCUGACAACAAGUAGUUUACUUUGUGUUUGCAUAUAUUUGUUUGUUUUGAACAUUUCAUAAAAAUUGAAUCAUGUA